AACCCGAUGGUGCCGUGAAAUACGGUUAAAAGGGAAACAGGUUUUAUUCCUGUGCUGUUCCCGCAACUGUAAACAUUGAGCUAGAACAAAGUGCCACUGAAUUUUUUUGGGAAGGCGUUCAAAGCUUCGAAAUGUGAGCCAGGAGACCUACCAUCGU
rnacentral:ncRNA from 1 species